GUCAGUUCAGAAAAGAUAUAGGAUAUAUUCAAAGCCAGUACACUGGAGGUUAUUUCUGUCAUGUAACUGCUCUUUAUUUCUAUAUAGAAUAUAUUUCUUGCAUCUGGAGUCUGGGUUUAAUCCUGGCUGAAAUGCUCUAUGGAGACGUUUACGUUGAGUCUUCAAAUCAGAUCAUUGAGAAGUGUUCACAGUUUGGUUCUCCAGAGUGCUGCCAGCUGUUAUCAUUGUGUCUGCAAAACUACAAGCAAGCUCUGUUUGAUGAAAUCCCGAACCACACCUGGUUUAGACAGAAACUGUCUAGUUCACAGGCUCCUGAAGACCCUGGAUCUUCUAGCUGAUCCAAAAAUAUCCUUUUUUAAAAAAUUAAGUUAAAAGUGCUUAAUCCCGCCCCAGACCCACCUCCACGUGCUCCCACCGCUCGACUCCAUCAGACC